CCAGCUCCUCCUCACCUUCUCCUCCUAUCUGUCCCUUUGCUGUAGGUCAUCAUGGCGUGGAGAUGGCGAUGACAGUAGGAGGGCGUCGACCUUGCCCUACUCGAGAUGGAUGAGGGCUGCACCUAGCUUCGGCCCUGCUCUACUCGAGGAGGAGGGGCAGGAGGAGAGGUUUCAUUCCAUCGAGGAAGCUCGCUCUGCAUCCGAGUCUCGGUCAUCCUGCAUAGCAAGGAGCUAGACCAAGGGAGCAAGCAGCACUGCUGGUUCCUUGAGACAUGUGCAACACAUUUAACUUUUAGUACUCCAGUACUCCAGUAAUUUUGCUUAGAGUAUUUAACAAGAUUGAACUGUACAUGUGUGGAGUAAUUUUUCUUGGAGUAUUUAACAAGAUUCAACAAGACUUAACUUACUUUUCUAGUUAAUUAAAUGGACAUCUUGGAUUAGUUAGAAAAUCAUGAAUUAUUUGCAGAAAUCCAUAGAAGUAUUGUACUCCAGUGUGCAUUACUUACAUAAACUUGCUUGCAAGCUUAUUUUCUGACUUGUAUAUUCUGAAACUAAAAAAGCUUAGGUAACUUAUGUUAAGUUUUAGUAAUAUUCAGUGGAGUAUUUAUUGUAAAUUUUGCACAUCACAGUAAUUUCACUAUUGUUAACUGCUGUAGCAUUAGGAGUAGUUUUACUACAGUAAUGCUUGAAGAGGGUGAAUGGAGGGUGAGGAAGUUUUACUGCAGAGUUGGAUUGCACAGGGAGUAGUUAGGAGUAGUAGAUGUUGAUGAUCAUAGUCAGGAGUAGUUUUGCCUUUCAUGAUCAUCCAAAAAUGUGAUGUACUAUUGUACUUUGAGUGAAUGUUGAUUACUAUAUGCACUUGUGUAGUAGAUGUUGAGUACUGUAUGCACUUGUGUAGUAGAUAUUUUAUUGACUAGAUAUAUACGUGUUGACUGUUCGUCUGUUCCUCUAGUUUUCUGAUGUGCAUGUUUAUUUGGAUCCACUGAACCUUUGCACGACUAAUCUCUCAAAUUUCUAUAUACAUCGACAGGUUUUCUGAAAGUGUGACUCCAUAGUAUUGAGAAGUAAUUGAGUUUCCUUUAGUUUUCUGAUGUGAAAGUUUCUUGGAAGUAGAGCUUUUCGUAACUAAUCAAGAACUCGACUCUUUUCCCCUAAUAUCGUUGCCGCCCAGUCCAAGUCCGUUUGUACUUGUAAUAACGGAGUAUUUGUACUUGUUUACAAUGUUUUAGGCACUGGUACGAAAGCUGCCCUUGACACGAACUUAGUAUACCAUAGUAUAUAUACUACCAAAUAUAAUUUAGCAUCUUGUUUUCGUCAAUUGAUGUGUUCCUGCUUCCUGUUGUCAAGCCCAAACCCACUGAAUUACCUAGUAUCUCUGUUCUUCUCUUCAUAUCGAAGCUCAUCAAACUUGUCAGCUCUAUGCUUUCAUUCUGAUUUGUACAUCAUCCUGAAAUAUAUAAUCAUGCUUUUAUUCUGAUUUGUACAUCAUCCUGGAUGGUCUGCCCAAACGAUGCUCAUGGCGUUUCUGUUAGCCUGCGUUACAACUCAUUUUUUUAUUUAAAGAACCAAGUGGCACAGUGGUUCUAUUUCUCAUAAAUUGACAGAAAGGUUCUAGCAUGUUUUCAUUUGCAUGUAAAACUCGACCUUGUUUUAGUUGAGUGAAUAUGUUUCAGGUAUGGAACGUUUUACAGUACAUUUCUUUCCUUCUAAAUGUGAAUUCAUGUACAUCAUCAAGCAUUUCACAUUUGCUAUAGUACUACGUAAUGGUGUACGUCUUUUAGAAAUUAUGCUCCUUACGUUUAUAAAUUCUACAUAUGGUUUAUCAUCACUUGGUGUAUAUAUAGCAUGUUUUGGGCAACGAAUUAUUCAGCGUUCUAUGUUAAAGCUUUCAACCUUGAAAGCACAUAUUUGUUCGGGCAUGUGCUACAUGUACCAUUUUAGAAGUAGUCCACAUAUUUCUGUCCUGCUAUAGUCUUUUUUCAACUUCUUAUGAGAAGUAUUCGUUCUGAUUUCUGGUUUGCUGGUUGUUGUAGACAGAUGUAUGAAACCUCUUAACUGUGGACGACAACUACUUCCUUGAGAAGGACCAUCAUCACCCAUCAAAUACGCCAUUGAGGGCGUCCGUGGAAGGCCCUCAAGUGAGUCCGGCAUUCGAUCGCUAUUGAAGGAGCUACAUGUAGAAGAAGAAAACACUUGUAGAGCUUGUAACUGAUUCCCAUAGUUGUAGAGCGUGUAUCAACUAAGCUUGUAUUAUGUGUAACUUGUAGAACUUGUAAAUGCUACAGCUUGUAGGACGUGUCAUUUGUAGAGCUUGUAUAUGCUACAGCUUGUAGGACGUGUCAUUUGUAGAGAUUGUAUUGAAUCUGGCUGUUGUUAUUUGAAGUAUCAUGUGUGUUUUUU